UACGUAGGGCGCAAGCGUUGUCCGGAAUCAUUGGGCGUAAAGCGCGCGUAGGUGGCUUCGUAAGUCCGUUGUGAAAGUCAAAGGCUCAACCUUUGAAUGCCGAUGGAUACUGCGAAGCUAGAGUACGGAAGAGGCGAGUGGAAUUCCUGGUGUAGCGGUGGAAUGCGCAGAUAUCAGGAGGAACACCAAUAGCGAAGGCAGCUCGCUGGGACGUUACUGACACUAAGGCGCGAGAGCGUGGGGAGCGAACAGG
rnacentral:rRNA from 1 species